ACAGGCAGAGGAGGACAAGAAAAGACGAACAAAGACGCCCGCCUUUUGGGCCCCGGCUGCUCAGAAUGGGGGAUUUGCAGGCGAAGAAUGUGGACGGGGGGAAAGUGAAAUGUGGAAUUGAGUGGGUUGAAUGGAGGGGCUGAGCAGAGGAUUCUACCAGCUCCAGGGACAAAGGCACCGGCCGUGGGGCCUCCUCGGAAAGGCCAAGCUGCCAACACCUGCUCCUUUUUCAGGAACCACAAUAAGGACUUUAAACAUCAGCUGUGGCCUCCAGGAUCCUGACAGCGCCUGGCCCGUGGGACUCAGAGGUCCAGUGGGUUGCAGGGACACAAGGGGCAGCAGAAGAUCCCCCACCCCGAGCCCAGGACUCCCAGGGUGGGAACCACAUUGCAAGGAACUGUGGGUAGCCUCUUGAAGCUGAGAGCAGAAUCCAGCCAACAGCAAGAAGCCAGCCACCUCAGUCCUGCAGCCACAAGAAAAUGAAUCCUGCUAGCAACCUGAGAAGGCUUAGAAAUGGAUCCUUCCCCAGUCGAGCCUCUGAUGAGACCAUAGUCCUGGUUGACACCAAAAUUGUAACCUUGCCUAAGAAACCCUAAUGCAGGGGCCCCAGCUAAGCCAUGCUCGGAUUCCCAAUCCAUGGGAACUGUGAGGUAAUAAAUGUGUUCUUGAAGCUG